AACUUCUUCAUAGCCAGCUCACACCCUGUGCUGGAGUAAGCUUCACACAUAUCUCACACAGACAUGAGUGCUCCUAAUCAGAUGCUGGGGUUGCUGCUGCUGUUCUGUUUUACAGGUGCAAGAUGUGACAUCAAGAUGACACAGUCUCCUGCCUCCCUAUCAGCAACUUUGGGAGAGACUGUCACAAUUACAUGCCAGGCAAGUCAGGACAUCAGCUGGUCUUUAGCAUGGUAUCAGCAGAAACCAGAGAACUCUCCUAAGCUCCUGAUCUAUAGUGGAAACACCUUGGAAAAUGGUGUCCCAUCAAGAUUUAGUGGCAGUAAAUCUGGCACACAGUUUUCUCUCAAAAUCAGCAGCCUGCAAUCUGAAGAUGCUGCAAUGUAUUACUGCCAACAGGGCUACAGUAAUCCUCUCACAGUGAUUAAAGCCAUGACAUAAACCUCCCGGGGAAGA